GUACCUUUCUCGGUUUUUGGCUAAGAUAAAGUGUAGUAUUUGUUCUUAUCAGUUUAAUAUCUUGUAUGUGGAUCAUAUGUCCAGUUUGAACUAAAUUUAUUUUUUGUGGGAAGGUUCCAUCACACUAGCUUGCCAUUUGACUCUCAUGUGCCAUCCAACUAUCGCACUACUAUAUGAUUGUAUGUCGUCGCAACA
rfam:Zea mays cultivar B73 chromosome 1, whole genome shotgun sequence.